GUCUGGCUGGCUCAGUUGGCAGAGCAUGUGAUUCUUGAUCUCGGGGUUGUGGGUUCAGACCCAUGCUGGGUG
rnacentral:tRNA from 1 species